rnacentral:rRNA from 1 species
CUCGUAGGCGGUUUGUCGCGUCUGCUGUGAAAGCCCGGGGCUUAACCCCGGGUGUGCAGUGGGUACGGGCAGACUUGAGUGCAGUAGGGGAGACUGGAAUUCCUGGUGUAGCGGUGAAAUGCGCAGAUAUCAGGAGGAACACCGAUGGCGAAGGCAGGUCUCUGGGCUGUUACUGACGCUGAGGAGCGAAAGCAUGGGGAGCGAACA